AUUGAACGCUGGCGGCAGGCCUAACACAUGCAAGUCGAGCGGAUGACGGGAGCUUGCUCCUUGAUUCAGCGGCGGACGGGUGAGUAAUGCCUAGGAAUCUGCCUGGUAGUGGGGGACAACGGUUCGAAAGGAACGCUAAUACCGCAUACGUCCUACGGGAGAAAGCAGGGGACCUUCGGGCCUCGCGCUAUCAGAUGAGCCUAGGUCGGAUUAGCUAGUUGGUGGGGUAAUGGCUCACCAAGGCGACGAUCCGUAACUGGUCUGAGGGGAUGAUCAGUCACACUGGAACUGAGACACGGUCCAGACUCCUACGGGAGGCAGCAGUGGGGAAUAUUGGACAAUGGGCGAAAGCCUGAUCCAGCCAUGCCGCGUGUGUGAAGAAGGUCUUCGGAUUGUAAAGCACUUUAAGUUGGGAGGAAGGGCAGUAAGUUAAUACCUUGCUGUUUUGACGUUACCGACAGAAUAAGCAUCGGCUAACUCUGUGCCAGCCGCCGCCGUAA
rnacentral:rRNA from 1 species